GAUGAACGCUGGCGGCGUGCCUAAUACAUGCAAGUCGAGCGAACAGACGAGGAGCUUGCUCCUCUGAUGUUAGCGGCGGACGGGUGAGUAACACGUGGAUAACCUACCUAUAAGACUGGGAUAACUUCGGGAAACCGGAGCUAAUACCGGAUAACAUUUUGAACCGCAUGGUUCAACAGUGAAAGACGGUCUUGCUGUCACUUAUAGAUGGAUCCGCGCCGCAUUAGCUAGUUGGUAAGGUAACGGCUUACCAAGGCAACGAUGCGUAGCCGACCUGAGAGGGUGAUCGGCCACACUGGAACUGAGACACGGUCCAGACUCCUACGGGAGGCAGCAGUAGGGAAUCUUCCGCAAUGGGCGAAAGCCUGACGGAGCAACGCCGCGUGAGUGAAGAAGGUCUUCGGAUCGUAAAACUCUGUUAUUAGGGAAGAACAAAUGUGUAAGUAACUAUGCACGUCUUGACGGUACCUAAUCAGAAAGCCACGGCUAACUACGUG
rnacentral:rRNA from 1 species